rnacentral:rRNA from 1 species
UCACUCCUACGGGGGGCAGCAGUGAGGAAUAUUGGUCAAUGGUCGGGAGACUGAACCAGCCAAGCCGCGUGAGGGAGGAAGGUACAGAGUAUCGUAAACCUCUUUUGUCAGGGAACAAAGACUAGGACGCGUCCCCGGAUGAGCGUACCUGAAGAAAAAGCAUCGGCUAACUCCGUGCCAGCAGCCGCGGUAAUACGGAGGAUGCGAGCGUUAUCCGGAUUUAUUGGGUUUAAAGGGUGCGCAGGCGGUCUGUUAAGUCAGCGGUCAAAGCCCGGGGCUCAACCCCGGCCCGCCGUUGAAACUGG